rnacentral:lncRNA from 1 species
AUGAUCAAGACACAGCUGCCCUGGACGAAAUGCUUACCAUUGGCACUUUUAAACAUAAGAACUAAACCACACAGUGAGACUGGAUUAUCAUCAUAUGAAAUGUUAUAUGGUAUGCCUUAUUCUCAAGGGAUUCCCCUAGGAAACAAUGUAGCUGAGGAUCAUAGUAUCCAGAAAUACAUAAUUACCAUUGGAAGGAGAUUACAGGAGCUAAGAGAAAUUGGGAUGAUGACUCAAACACCACCUUUAGGAUUUGCUAUUCAUAAGAUACAACCAGGAGACAAGGUCUUAAUAAAAACCUGGAGAGAAGAAUCAUUGAACCCCCGAUGGGAGGGACCGUACCUUGUUUUACUUACUACUGAAACAGCUGUGAGAACAGCAGAAAGGGGUUGGACCCAUGCAUCCAGAAUAAAAGGACCAAUAGCUACCGAAGCCUGGAGGGUUGAGUCUUCUCCUGAGGAACUGAAACUGAGACUAAAGAGGAACUACUAUUCUGGCAAUGAGGUUCUGCAUGAAUUAAGGGCUGAAUGGUAACACAAGCUCAAAUCGACCCUGAAAGCGGGCCCAACCCCAUGAUUGAAGGUGUUUCCCACACUCUCAAGAUUGGACGGCGCAAAAGGAUAAGAAAUGCUACACUUCCUGGUAUUGUUUUUACGAGGGCAAUUGGGCCAUGGGCAAGAACGGAGGAAUAUCUUUUUCACUUUGGGGGAGGAAGUGGCCAAGGCCUUUAACCUUAGUAACUGCUGGAUUUGUGGAGGACCGAGGGGUGGUGGGUCAGUAAUUUGAGCGAAGUUCAUAACGGGACACAAUUUUGGAAAGAGGAAGGAGGCCCAUGGCAAUUGCACUCAUCAGCUCAGGGUAUAUACUGCUUGAACAGAACAGGAACGGUGGCGGUAGGAAAAAGCAUUUGCAAUUGGACUCUGUCUCCCAGAUAUGAUUAUACUAAUCCUGGAUGUAAUCCUAUAAACUGUACCGCACGUAGUGGGAAAUGGAACGCCACACAUGUCCAGCUGAGAAACGGGACUUGGCUGAAGUGCUCAUAUAGGGCAUUUUUUGGAUCCGGAUGUGAAACCAUGGCAAGAGCACAAGCAGGGGGAUAAUUUGACGGUCAAAUCUUGAGCUGUCAGCGUGAUAACACCACUAAAGAACAGCAUGUGGUGCGGGUCUAUUGCUGGAGAUGGCAGAAUGAGAAUGGGAGGCGAGUGUUCUUUAAACAUUUCUGGUCAGUUUAUAAUAUGACAGGCCGCCGUAACUGUAAGUGGAAACCCAAUUUGGGAGCUUGGAAGUGCGCAUAUACGAGUACAAACGGGGCAGACAUUGUAACAGGACCGCUUGGUUAUAAGGACACUCUGUAUUAUCAA